GACGAACGCUGGCGGCGUGCUUAACACAUGCAAGUCGAACGGACCCUUUGGGGUUAGUGGCGAACGGGUGAGUAACACGUGGGUGAUCUGCCCUGCACUUUGGGAUAAGCCUGGGAAACUGGGUCUAAUACCGGAUAGGACUACGCACUGCAUGGUGUGUGGUGGAAAGCUUUUGCGGUGUGGGAUGGGCCCGCGGCCUAUCAGCUUGUUGGUGGGGUGAUGGCCUACCAAGGCGACGACGGGUAGCCGGCCUGAGAGGGUGACCGGCCACACUGGGACUGAGAUACGGCCCAGACUCCUACGGGAGGCAGCAGUGGGGAAUAUUGCACAAUGGGCGCAAGCCUGAUGCAGCGACGCCGCGUGGGGGAUGACGGCCUUCGGGUUGUAAACCUCUUUCGCCAGGGACGAAGCGCAAGUGACGGUACCUGGAGAAGAAGGACCGGCCAACUACGUGCCAGCAGCCGCGGUAAUACGUAGGGUCCGAGCGUUGUCCGGAAUUACUGGGCGUAAAGAGCUCGUAGGUGGUUUGUCGCGUUGUUCGUGAAAACUCACAGCUUAACUGUGGGCGUGCGGGCGAUACGGGCAGACUGGAGUACUGCAGGGGAGACUGGAAUUCCUGGUGUAGCGGUGGAAUGCGCAGAUAUCAGGAGGAACACCGGUGGCGAAGGCGGGUCUCUGGGCAGUAACUGACGCUGAGGAGCGAAAGCGUGGGGAGCGAACAGGAUUAGAUACCCUGGUAGUCCACGCCGAAAACGGUGGGUACUAGGUGUGCCUUUCCUUCCUUGCGAUCCGUGCCGUAGCUAACGCAUUAGUUACCCCGCCUGGGGAGUACGGCCGCAAGGCUAAAACUCAAAGGAAUUGACGGGGGCCCGCCCAAGGGGCGGAGCAUGUGGAUUAAUUCGAUGCAACGCGAAGAACCUUACCUGGGUUUGACAUGCACAGGACGCCGGCAGAGAUGCCGGUUCCCUUGUGGCCUGUGUGCAGGUGGUGCAUGGCUGUCGUCAGCUCGUGUCGUGAGAUGUUGGGUUAAGUCCCGCAACGAGCGCAACCCUUGUCUCAUGUUGCCAGCACGUUAUGGUGGGGACUCGUGAGAGACUGCCGGGGUCAACUCGGAGGAAGGUGGGGAUGACGUCAAGUCAUCAUGCCCCUUAUGUCCAGGGCUUCACACAUGCUACAAUGGCCGGUACAAAGGGCUGCGAUGCCGUGAGGUGGAGCGAAUCCUUUCAAAGCCGGUCUCAGUUCGGAUCGGGGUCUGCAACUCGACCCCGUGAAGUCGGAGUCGCUAGUAAUCGCAGAUCAGCAACGCUGCGGUGAAUAUGUUCCCGGGCCGU
rnacentral:rRNA from 1 species